UACAGAGGGGGCAAGCGUUGUUCGGAAUCACUGGGCGUAAAGCGCGUGUAGGCGGUUUCCUAAGUCAGGUGGGAAAUCCCCCGGCUUAACCGGGGAAGUGCGCCUGAAACUGGGAGGCUUGAGUAUCGGAGAGGAAAGGGGAAUUCCCGGUGUAGAGGUGAAAUGCGUAGAUAUCGAGAGGAACACCUGCGGCGAAGGCGGGUUGCUGGGCCGACACUGACGCUGAUGCGCGAAAGCCAGGGGAGCGAAUGGG
rnacentral:rRNA from 1 species